rnacentral:lncRNA from 1 species
GUCUGCUUCCCAACCAUCAGUUGACCCAAGGCGCAGGCCUCUGCAGCUCCAGCUUGAGUCACCCAAUUGGCCCUGCCCAGGACUGAUCCAUCCUCAGGAAUGGUUCUGACGACAGAAGAGUGUCCAGGAAGGCUGGCUCACCCCAGCUCUCCCAUACCUGCUCUUUAGCUCACGUGUGUAUAUGACAGGAUGACUGCGGUGGGGUCUCUCACCGGCGGGCUGUGGGGGCCCUCGAGGCAGGUCCAGCUCUGGUGGGUGGCUGCUCCGUGUGAUGAUGACCGGCUCCUCCAUCACGUUGAUGCUGUUACACUGCAUGAGGUCCUGCAGCAGGUUGAAGAUAUCCUCUGCCCUCGAACACUUGAAUGCAAAGAUGCCUGGGGAAGCUCCAGUACAGGGUAACUGAAGUUUGUAUAAACAGGACGAGAAAGACGGCAUGACAUGUAAAAGCUGGACAAGACCUGAAGGACAGAAGUGGUGAUACGUGGCUGUAAUCCCACACUUGGGAGGGAUGAGGUUCAUGCCAGGAAAGGCCCUUCAGCAAUCAACCCAGAACACGCAUUGCUUUGUGCUGUCUUGGGAGAGACAGCUCUGUCUGCGUGCAGCACAGUCCCAAGAAGGACUCCUUGUGCUGAGCAUGUGUGGACCUAAGAAGCAAGGCCAGACCUCAUGUCCCAACCUCAAGCUCGUGAGCAGCCUGCCAGUCCCUGGGCCCUGGCUGUAGAGGGCACCUGGGCAGGGGAUACAGUAUACUCCACUGCCUACAGGUGAAGGUGGACAAAGGUCAGGCUCUGGAAGGUUACGCUGUAUAUGAGAGACCCAAGAUCCUGCUGCCCAUGUCUCUGUGCAAGCUCCUCAGCCCUGAGUAGCCAGUCUCCUGCCUGACUUCUCUUCCACUGUGCACGGAGGCAGCUCAGGAGGAGUUUUCCUAUGCAAAGGCAAUAAAGACCUUGGAACCAUGGC